GACCGCGACCCCAGGUCAGGCAGGACUACCCGCUGAGAA
rnacentral:rRNA from 1 species